rnacentral:rRNA from 1 species
CCUACGGGGGGCAGCAGUGGGGAAUAUUGGACAAUGGGCGAAAGCCUGAUCCAGCCAUGCCGCGUGUGUGAAGAAGGCCUUCGGGUUGUAAAGCACUUUCAGUGGGGAAGAAAGCCUUGGGGCUAAUACCCUCGAGGAAGGACAUCACCCACAGAAGAAGCACCGGCUAACUCCGUGCCAGCAGCCGCGGUAAUACGGAGGGUGCGAGCGUUAAUCGGAAUUACUGGGCGUAAAGCGCGCGUCGGCGGUCUGAUAAGCCGGUUGUGAAAGCCCCGGGCUCAACCUGGGAACGGCAUCCGGAACUGUCAGGCUAGAGUGCAGGAGAGGAAGGUAGAAUUCCCGGUGUAGCGGUGAAAUGCGUAGAGAUCGGGAGGAAUACCAGUGGCGAAGGCGGCCUUCUGGACUGACACUGACGCUGAGGUGCGAAAGCGUGGGUAGCAAACAGGAUUAGAUACCCUUGUAGUC